rnacentral:rRNA from 1 species
AUUGAACGCUGGCGGCAUGCUUUACACAUGCAAGUCGAACGGUAACAGGCCGCAAGGUGCUGACGAGUGGCGAACGGAUGAGUAAUGCAUCGGAACGUGCCCAGUCGUGGGGGAUAACGCAGCGAAAGCUGCGCUAAUACCGCAUACGAUCUAUGGAUGAAAGCGGGGGACCGUAAGGCCUCGCCCGAUUGGAGCGGCCGAUGUCAGAUUAGGUAGUUGGUGGGGUAAAGGCUCACCAAGCCAACGAUCUGUAGCUGGUCUGAGAGGACGACCAGCCACACUGGGACUGAGACACGGCCCAGACUCCUACGGGAGGCAGCAGUGGGGAAUUUUGGACAAUGGGCGCAAGCCUGAUCCAGCAAUGCCGCGUGCAGGAAGAAGGCCUUCGGGUUGUAAACUGCUUUUGUACGGAACGAAACGGUCCUGGUUAAUACCCGGGGCUAAUGACGGUACCGUAAGAAUAAGCACCGGCUAACUACGUGCCAGCCGCCGCAGUAAUAC